rnacentral:rRNA from 1 species
GGAUUAGAUACCCUGGUAGUCCUAGCUGUAAACGAUGGAUACUAGACGUAGGAACUGGAUUGACGGUUUCUGUGUCGCAGCUAACGCGUUAAGUAUCCCGCCUGGGGAGUACGGUCGCAAGACUAAAACUCAAAUGAAUUGACGGGGGCCCGCACAAGCAGUGGAGCAUGUGGUUUAAUUCGAUGCAACGCGAAGAACCUUACCAGGCCUUGACAUCCUCGGAACUUUCUAGAGAUAGAUUGGUGCCUUCGGGAACCGAGUGACAGGUGCUGCAUGGCUGUCGUCAGCUCGUGCCG